AGUUACGCAACAGACGGUUCAAGUGUACGCGCACACGUUCUUCAUGCCUUGCCCAGAAAUGAUUCUAUAAAAUUAGUUUUAGACGAAGGAAGAAAAACCGCUUAAAUGGUGCCUACAUAAACAAACACGUAGGCAUCCGAAACAUGAGUGUGUUAUACAAGAGCUCGUUAGGUUUUACUGUAAGAAGUUUGUUGGGAAAGCGUAGAAGAACAUGAUGUUCGGAAUAGUGUAAACAGAUGCUGUGUGACAAAGAGGAAGAGAGAGAGAGAGAGAGAGACGUGGGGCGAAAAAAAGAAAACAAACAAACAAAACAAAAAAAGGGUUUGGUUUGGUGAUUAAAUCGCUGGAUGUGGCCCUUUCCGACAUGUGAGAAGAGAGAUUAGCGUUGAAAUAUCUACACUUCUGAAAAGCAAAGCAUCUUCUCCGCAGUAGUCGCCGUUCGGUAAGAUAAGAUCUGUUUAAUGUGCUGGAAUGACCUUCGAAGUUGUUUAAAAUCUCCAUCUCACCUGGGAGUUUGCUGGUUAAAAGUCAUUUCUUGUCCCGCUGUACUCGCACGCCUUUUAAAACACACAGGGGCAUCUCCUUGAACCGCUGUGCUAGAAGUACACUUUUUUUUCUUUCUUUUUUUUUUUUUUAAAUGAGUGUUAUUGCAAAGUUUCUACACCAUUUUGUGAAAUCGUACACCGUCGUUGGGGCUAACUCUCCCUCUAUUCCGAGAAACCGUAAUACAAAUCUACUCGCUUGGAAAGAGAAAAGUGCGAGAGGAUUUAUUUAUUUUUUUUUUUGUCCACGGUAUGAACAAUAAAAUAAAUAGUUUUGCCAGUAAAAGCCGUAACAGCUCUUUUCCAACGUUUUACAUCGUGAUAUGUUUGAAGAAUCCCCAACCAUUUGCACAUAUUGGAAAUAAAAGAAAUGAAAAAAAAAAAAAAACAAAAAAAAAAAAAACCAAACAUUAUAAAUAUUUACUGUUCCUUUUUCUUUUUUUUUUUUUCCUAAAAAACUGGGAAUGUUGAAAAGGAGAGAAGAUUUUUUUCCCCCAUAGCCAAUGCACAUGUAAGGUCAUUAUAUCAAAAAAAAAAGAAAAAGAAGAAGGAGAAGAAGGAAACAUACGGGAUCAUGGAGAGGAAUGAACAAAAUAAGGUGACUCAUCAGUAAUCUGAUUGAUUGAUUGAUCGAUCUGGUCAGAUUUGAUUGUUUAACAGACUUUCAGGAGAGGAAAUGAUGUCGUCAAAGGAAGUGGUCGCUCAUCAUUUUCAUAAAGUCUGGCAGCUUUGACCUGAGAGAGAGAGAGAGAGAGAGACAGAAGAGAGACAGAGAGAGAGAGAGACAGAAAGAGAGAGACAGAAGAGAGACAGAGAGAGAGACAGAAAAGAGAGACAGACAGAGAGACAGA
ensembl:lncRNA